GAUCAGUUUAAAGGACCACUAUAGUGCCAGGAAAACAAACUCGUUUUCCUGGCACUAUAGUGGUCCUUUAAACUGAUCUC